GAGUGUCACAUUAUCAAGCCUAAUCACUAACAUAUCAUUGACACAUCAUUGAAGGUGAUAACGUGACAAUGAUGUGUCAAUGGUAAGGUGUGAUGAUGUGACAUUCUGU
rfam:Glycine soja cultivar W05 scaffold2757_9, whole genome shotgun sequence.